CUUGGAUUUAGCAGAGCAAAACAAGUGGCUGCAGGUGUCUAGAAGCAGGACUUUUGAAAUUCAUUGAAAAAAGUAAACAAAGAGAAAAUCAGUUGAUUUCACCCACUACACAUUUAUGGCAUCCAAGCAUCUAAGCAUAUGCUUGUUGAAAUGUUGUUGAGAAUUCCAGCUGCAAGGCAACAAAUUUUAGCUUGAAAGGCAAAAGAGGCCACAGCCACAGGACCAGGAAGGAAAAGGAAAAUACACCCCAUGAAGACCAAAAUGAAUCCAUGCCGGACAUGUCAGAAGGCUGCAGUCAUCGGAAAUCUGGGGCUGUCCUUCCUAAUGCUUAGUGAUUGGCCAUCUAGGGAGUUUGUUUUUGUUUUUGUUUUACUUUUUAUUAAGCUACUGGUGCUUAGGAUACCUCUAGUAUAUCCAUAAGUAAGUAUUAUACUUUUCUUGAAACUAAGUAUUAAAGUUAAAAACUAUCAUUGAGAUUAAAGGAAAAAAC
rnacentral:lncRNA from 1 species